rnacentral:rRNA from 1 species
ACGGCUCAGUAACACGUGGACAACCUACCCUGAGGUCGGGGAUAAACCCGGGAAACUGGGUAUAAUACCCGAUAGAUCUAGAUCGCCGGAAUGCUUUUAGGUCUAAAGUUCCGACGCCUCAGGAUGGGUCUGCGGCCUAUCAGGGUAGUAGUGGGUGUAAAGUACCUACUAGCCCACGACGGGUACGGGUUGUGAGAGCAAGAGCCCGGAGAUGGAUUCUGAGACACGAAUCCAGGCCCUACGGGGUGCAGCAGGCGCGAAACCUUUACAAUGCUGGCAACAGCGAUAAGGGGACCUCGAGUGCUACGAUACAAUCGUGGCUGUCUAGUUGCCUAAAAAGCAAUUGAUAGCAAGGGCCGGGCAAGACCGGUGCCAGCCGCCGCGGUAACACCGGCGGCUCGAGUGGUAACCGCUAUUAUUGGGUCUAAAGGGUCUGUAGCCGGCUUAGUUAGUCUCUUGAGAAAUCUGGCCGCUCAACGGUCAGGCGUUCAGGGGAUACUGCUAAAGCUCGAGACCGGGAGAGGUGAGAGGUACUUCAGGGGUAGGGGUGAAAUCUUGUAAUCCUUGAAGGACCACCAGUGGCGAAGGCGUCUCACCAGAACGGAUCUGACGGCAAGGGACGAAAGCUAGGGGCACGAACCGGAUUAGAUACCCGGGUAGUCCUAGCCGUAAACGAUACUCGCUAGGUGUCGGCCACGGUGCGACCGUGGUCGGUGCCGUAGGGAAGCCGUGAAGCGACCCACCUGGGAAGUACGGCCGCAAGGCUGAAACUUAAAGGAAUUGGCGGGGGAGCAC